AGAGUUUGAUCCUGGCUCAGGAUGAACGCUGGCGGUGUGCCUUAAGCAUGCAAGUCGAGCGGUCCAGCAAUGGACAGCGGCAGACGGGUGAGUAAUGCAUAGGAAUCUACCUCAAAGUGGGGAACAGCUCGCCGAAAGGCGGGGUAAUACCACAUGUGAUCGCAAGAUCAAAGCCGUAAGGCGCUUUGAGAGGAGCCUAUGUCCUAUCAGGUAGUUGGUGGGGUAAAAGCCUACCAAGCCUAUGACGGGUAGCCGGUGUGAGAGCAUGACCGGCCACAAGGUCACUGAGACACGGGACCUACACCUACGGGUGGCAGCAACUGGGAAUCUUGCGCAAUGGGCGAAAGCCUGACGCAGCGACACCGCGUGUGGGAAGAAGGCCUUCGGGUUGUAAAUCACUGUGGCGAGGGAUGACUUCGACAGUACCUCGCUAGAAAGCACCUGCUAACCACGAGCCAGAAGCCUCGGUAAUACGUGGGGUGCAAGCGUUAUCCGGAUUUACUGGGCGUAAAGCGUACCGUCGGCGUCUUGGCAAGUCUUCCGUUUAAGCCUGGGGCUCAACUUCAGACCAGCGGAGGAAACUAUCAAGAUUGAGUUUGUUCGGGGGAACUAGAAUUCUCGGUGGAGGGGUGAAAUCCGUAGAUAUCGAGAGGAAUACCAGUCGCGAAGGCGGGUUCCUAGAACAAUACUGACGCUCAUGGACGGAAGUCUGGGUAGCAAAAGGGAUUAGAUACCCCGGUAGUCCUAGCCCUAAACGAUGAAUACUUGGUGUCUGGAGGUUUAAUACUCCGGGUGCCGUCGCUAACGUUUUUAGUAUUCCGCCUGGGGAGUACGUACGCAAGUAUGAAACUCAAAGGAAUUGACGGGGACCCGCACAAGCGGUGGAGCAUGUGGUUUAAUUCGACGCAACGCGAAGAACCUUACCUGAGCUAGAAUGUGAGGGAAUGUUGGGUAAUGCCAUCAGCCAGUUUACUGGCCCGAAACAAGGUGCUGCAUGGCUGUCGUCAGCUCGUGACGUGAGAUGUUGGGUUAAGUCCCGCAACGAGCGCAACCCCUAUUGAUAGUUGCCAUCAUUAAGUUGGGAACUCUAUCAAGACCGCCGGUGAUAAAUCGGAGGAAGGUGGGGAUGACGUCAAGUCAUCAUGGCCUUUAUGCCCAGGGCUACACACGUGCUACAAUGGCUGGUACAAAACGUCGCGAUCCCGCGAGGGGGAGCUAAUCGCAAAAACCGGUCUCAGUUCGGAUUGGAGUCUGCAACUCGACUCCAUGAAGUUGGAAUCGCUAGUAAUCGCAAAUCAGCAUGUUGCGGUGAAUACGUUCCCGGGUCUUGUACACACCGCCCGUCACAUCACGAAAGUAGGUUGUACUAGAAGUAGGAGGGCUAACUCGCAAGAGAGGCAUCUUACCACGGUAUGAUUUAUGAUUGGGGUGAAGUCGUAACAAGGUAACC
rnacentral:rRNA from 1 species